rnacentral:misc_RNA from 1 species
UUUCCGUAGGUGAGCCUGCGGAAGGAUCAUUACUGAGUGAGGGCCCCUCGGGGUCCAACCUCCCACCCGUGUUUAACGAACCUUGUUGCUUCGACGGGCCCGCCUCACGGCCGCCGGGGGGCAUCUGCCCCCGGGCCCGCGCCCGCCGAAGCCACCUGUGAACGCUGUCUGAAGUAUGCAGUCUGAGACAAUUAUUAAAUUAAUUAAAACUUUCAACAACGGAUCUCUUGGUUCCG